CAGUCGCCACGGUAAUACGUAGGGUGCAAGCGUUAAUCGGAAUUACUGGGCGUAAAGCGUGCGCAGGCGGUUUUGUAAGUCUGUCGUGAAAUCCCCGGGCUCAACCUGGGAACGGCGAUGGAGACUGCAAGGCUAGAAUCUGGCAGAGGGGGGUAGAAUUCCACGUGUAGCAGUGAAAUGCGUAGAUAUGUGGAGGAACACCGAUGGCGAAGGCAGCCCCCUGGGCCAAUACUGACGCUCAUGCACGAAAGCGUGGGGAGCAAACAGGAUUAGAUACCCCGGUAGUCCCUGUCUCUUAUAC
rnacentral:rRNA from 1 species